rnacentral:lncRNA from 10 species
CCCACUCCCAGGCCCCGUUCCUAGGUGCCCCAGGCCAGCUCCUCUGGUGCCAGUGCUGGGAAGGAAGUGCAAUUCCCAGCUGUCCCUGCCGCUCCUACAAUGCUGGGUGCAGCCCAGAGCGAGGCCAUUUGUGAGGAUUUGCCAGGCUCUCUAGCAGCUGAGAUGGACCUGGCGCUCAGCUGCCCUCCACCCACACGAUCAGCAGAGCCAUGAGAGUCUCACAGGAGCGCGAACUCUAUUGUGAACCAUGCAUGUGAGCAGAUGGCUUGAGUCCAGGAGUUCAAGACCAGCGUGGGCAACAUGGCCAAACCCCGUCUCUACUAAAAGCACAAAAAUUAGCCGGGUAUGGUGACACACACCUGUAGUCCCAGCUGAGAAUCUAACUAAUGCCUGUUGAUCUGAGGUGGAACAGUUUCCCCCACCCCACCCCGUCUGUGGAAAAUUUGUCUUCCACGAAACCAGUCCCUGGUGCCAAAAAGGUUAGGGGCUGCUGGUCUAGAGACACGCAGCACAUAUGCCCGCAUGUUCUAGAGUGCUCUCUCUCCUACACAAAGAGUGGCUUACUACCCAAGAUGCCCUGGACCUUGGAUUUAUUUUUUAUUUUACAUUGUUGUUUAAUUACAAAAUAUUUCAAAAGUAUUGACAUAUGGUGACUUACAUAACAAACAUCCUUUAACCCCACCCAGCAUCGUCAUAUCUUAGUAGUAUGCUGUGUUUGCCUUUGGAUUUUGUUUGUAUAGACUCUUAUAGACACGGUAGAAGUCCCUGAGGGCCCGUUUCUGGUCCCACUCCCCACUGCCCUUCCCUGGAGAGAGGCUCUGUCAUGCAUCGGCUGUUCAUUGCCUCUGACUUUUCUACUUGUCCCUCUCUCUCCCCCAUUCUACUUCCACCCAAAGGGAAGCAGUGCUGGGUGGGAUGUGCUGCCAUGUUCGUCUGGAACAUGGCAGCAAUCACAGCCAUUUCCCUGUUACCCUAACAAAUUAGGUGCUAUUAGAGCAGGGCUUGGCAGCGCUGCAGUGCCGGGCAACUGCAGAACGUCUUAAACCUCACAGACUCCCAAAUGGCAUUGUCCCCUUCAGUCAGAAGUGCCAUACAUCACGGUUAAAAAUCAAUGCCUGCUAAUGUCCCUGCAGGAAGGCAGAAACAUGAACUUCAUGAAGUCUCCUUCUGUUUACACGCUCAUUAAGAGGAUAAAAUGUUACUUGGGUUGGGUCAGGCUUUUUGCUGCCUCUGAGGUGGUCCUGUAUGAAAAUGUGUGCCUUCAUUUGGGUAUGGCCUGUGUCACACAUUAUAUGCCUAUGGUAGUUAUGAAAUGCAAACUCCACCUCUUGUCUGUGCAGUCACUGAGUGUCCUAAUAUCAAAGUAAAACUGUGAGUUGAGGCCGGGCGCAGUGGCUCACGCCUGUAAUCCCAGCAUUUUGGGAGGCUGAGGCAGGUGGAUCACAAGGUCAGGAGUUUGAGACCAGCCUGGCCAGCAUGGUGAAACCCCAUCGCUACUAAAAAUACAAAAAAUUAGCCAGACAUGGUGACACAUGCUUGUAGUCCCAGCUACUCGGAAGGCUGCGGCAGGAGAAUUACUUGAACCCUGCAAGUGGAGGUUGCAGUGAGCCAAGAUCGAGCCACUGCACUCUAGCCUGGGCAAUGGAGCGAGACUCUGUCUCAAAAAAAAAAAAAAAAAAGUGUGAGUUGAUGGCUGCCUUACUUGUCCUCCUGGGGACAGACCUGCCCCCUGUCCUUCCCUUUGAGGGCACAGGCCUUUUCUGAUCAGGGAAGAUGACAGUGGGCACUCAUGGAGUGGGCUGGGCUCUGGAGGCCAUCUAGUGCUAUACCUGGCUGUUUAAGGCUGCCCCAUCUUGACGCCCACCUCCACAUAGGGACACAUCCAGCCAUGCUUCUUGGCACUCUACCCAGCUGCUCUGUCCCCACAGUUUCCCCUCCCUGUUGAUGGCCCAGACCAAUGCCACAUCCUUACCACUCAUGCACUUUGGUGAUAGUCCCAGCCCCACAUUCAACAUUUCCAACCAAGGCAACUGAGACAGGAGCCCAGGGGCCAGUGGCUCAGGGUGCCCAGCAGGCUGACCCACCGGAGCCCUCUGGGGUAUAGUCUCCCUCAGCAGGGUAGGCCAGUGUCUGGCCCUGCUCUGGCCCCUUUCUCUGCUUGUAACCUAGUUCGCAGUCUCCUCUGGGCUCUGCAGAUCCAUCCUGGAGCACUUGGGUUCUCAUCAGAAGCUAUCUAUGGAAUGAAGAACAGCAGAGCACAGCAGUGAUCCAGGGCAUGUGUGCAUCACAUCUUUCUUUGUCACCUGUCCAGGGAGUUCAGAAUUAGGCAGUGGUCAGCUGCACAGAAGCCUUCCAGGCCCUCCUACGUAGCCUCACCAUAUUCUCCUCUAAGGCACAGACACAAGCGCCCAGUCCUGUCCUACCUCAAAGAGGCACCCACAGAGGUCCCAACCCUGAUGGGGUGGAAGCUAGGGGCCCAGGGCAGCAUCAGGAGCAGAAAAUAGUGAAAUGGGAGGGCAUCACUUGGUAACAGGAAUCAGAGGGAGAGGCCUGGAGGAGAGGGAAAGGUACUCUUGGGUCUGGGAGCUAUGACUCUUUCCACACAUUUAAUGCUCAACACUCAUGCAGGGAAAAAAACUUAUCCCCAUAAUUACUGGGCAAGAGGGCCAUGCUGUCCUCACACCCAUGACAUCCUUGCAGCUCCCUCUCCUGCCUCCAGAACCAUCAUGACAUUCUGUGGAUUCUUCAUACUUUAGAAGGCAUCUGUUUCUCCAUUUGAUCACAACAUCCACCGAAGGGAGAACAGAAAAGGUAUAUUCUUAGCCUCUUCUUGCAUAAACAUGAGGAAAAUGAGGGGAAGUAACAAAGGAAGUGAAGAGAGAAACUGAACUUUGCAGUUGGAUCUUCUCAUAACUCAACCUGGUUCUUGCCCCCACCUCACCUGGGCCAAGGCAUGGGAGACACAGGGAGUCGUGGAUGGGAGAUGAGAGUGGCAAAGGAUGCAGACUGGACAAAAACCAGUUCCCAGAGGCCAGUCCAGCUGUGGGUGAGUAGGAAACAGCCAGGGGAAAGGGAGGAUGAAGAGGCUGAAGGAGGAUGGGAAUAUGCCAGGCAGAGCGCAGCAUGUGCAAAGGCCCUGUGGGGAGAGAGAGUUCACGGAAGUGAAGUGAAAAUGGCUCAUGAGUAGAUGUGACAUCUAUUUUCCUGCAAGUUAAUAUCAUCUGACAUUGGAUACAAUUUUUUAUGCCACAUUUAUCCCCAAAAUGGAUUUGUGGUUGCUUAUGAAAAACAGAUAGUAUAAGCUAAGGGAAUCCUCAAAGACCACUUACAGGGCAAAAGCAGAGCUCCCCAAAUGACAAAUGGCAUAGGAAUCCCCUGGGGCCUUGUUAGUAUGCACACUUUAGUUGGGAGGUCUGGGGUGAAGCCUAAGAUUCUGCAUUUCUGCUGUUACUGCAUUGAGAACCACACUUCAAGUAGCAAAGCUUGUGGCAGGGCCCAGGAGCGGAGGUUCUAACUUCAUUCUGUAUCAGUGUCAUGAAGAUGCCUGAGCCCCACCCAGGUCCAACUGAAUCAGACUCCCUCGGGGUGGGGUGCAAGCAUCAGUAUAUUUUAAAAGCUCCUUAAGUGAUCUGAAGGUGAAGCCAGAGGUAGGAACACUUGGCUAGGUUUUUCAUGAGUUCCAGGGUAUAUCAAUCAUCUCCCCCAGGCAGAUGAGUUGUGAAUGUGGUCUCCCUUGUGAAACAGAGCUUUACUAGCAGGGAGUUUGUAGCCUCUGGAAUAGGAAAACAGAAGUUUCUGUCCAAAGUGGAAACCAUAUGCUGGUGGAGCUGGGCAUCCGAUUCCACCCUCAUUUUGCAGCUGAGGAAACAAGUCCUGAGUCCACACAGCUGGUGAAGUCCCUUGGCCCCAGCCAGGUCGUUUUUUUACUCUUGCUACAGAUACCAAGCAGGGAGGCUCCCUAGAAGAGGAAGAGCUAGAGGGGCGGGGCCAGGAGGAGGUGCAAGUGACAAAAGACAUGCAGACAGGAAAUGAAUGGCAAAAAAAAUGCCGGGAAGAAAGGCAGAAGAGGACAGCCCCUGUUCCUUUCAAACCUCCACAAGUAGGCAGUGGCUGCCCUGCCCAUAAACAGACAUGCCUGGAACAUGGCUGUGAGGCAGCAGACAGGCAGGGCUGGCCAGGAGCACAGCAAGGGGACAACGAGAAGGACACUGCCAGGGCAGAGUGCAUCAGAAGCCCAUAGGACGGCUUCGCUGCAAAGCAAAGGCCUUCCUGGGCUGAGAAUGUACCUCCAAGAGGAUGUGGGCAGGCACAGCUGGGCCUGGCUUUUAGGAGGUUUUCAGAAAGUAAAAGACACUGCCUAUUUGACCAUCCACUGAAAAUGCCCUCUGAGGACUCAGUAAGGUUGAGUUACUAGUUGUGAGUGAGGAAUGCCAUUACUAGUCUGUUGUUGGGCACCCAGGCACCUGUGACAGAUGAGAAGAUGGGAGAGGGACAGAUGUUCAGCCAGAAGAGAACUCAAAGGAUAAGAAAGGUGGCCACAGGCACUCCAGAAGGGCUAUUUGUUGUGCAGGGAAAAGGAGCCAGAGUAAAAAGGCAUGGUCUGUAAUCCCAGCGCUUUGGGAGGCUGAGGUGGGGGGAUCACCUGAGGUCAGGAGUUCGAGACCAGCCUGGUCAACAUGGCAAAACCCUGUCUCUACAAAAAUACGAAAAAUUAGCCGAGUGUGGUGGCACACGCCUAUAAUCCCAGCUUCUCAGCAGGCUGAAGCAGGAGAACUGCUUGAACCCAGGAGGCAGAUGUUGCAGUGAGCCAAGAUCGCACCACUACACUCCAGCCUGGGCGACAGAGUGAGACUCCAUCUCAAAAUAAAUAGCAAGCCAUGGAACUGGGGAUGAAGCAGCAAGCAGAGGUUCUCACCAUAGCUCCCCAGGGCAAGGAAGGCCACAGCCCAGCCUGGAGACCAGCCAGCAGGCAGGGUCAGCUAGAGCAGCGCUCUGAUGGACAGACCUCAGGGACAUAAAGGCGAGAGUCUUCAGGAAGCAUCUGGAAACCAGCUCCUUUCCCACCUAGAAGAUGGGUAACAACUGCCACUCCCCGGCUUUUAGGAAAGCCCACACCCAGCCCCACGAUGUCUGCAAAUUCUCAGGGGGGUGUAUUUCUCAUUACCUCUGGCUUCUGCAGAAUUCUCCUUCCCUUCUCCAGGAGUUGACGCUGGCUUUUAACUCUGUCCUAUAAUCCCCUGUGCAGAAGCCCCAGUCCCUUCUCCUAGGUUCCUCCCCAUUCCCCAGAAAGGGACACACAGGCCAGUGAGGAGAGUGGACGCCCCUGGAGUCUGGCUUCAGGAGAGGAUAGGGCUGUCAGAUACUUUAAACUGAAGAGCUGACGGCUCCUGCUCCUUGACUUCCCUUGGCCAUUUCCACUAACUCAAUCCCAGCCUUCAAGCGAGUCCACCUUCUCUCCCUUUUUACUGCAAUUCCUGCACAGAUUUACACAGAAGAGCUCUCUCUAUAUAUAAUUUUUUUUCUCUUUCUACUCAUGCCCACAAGGCCUCAUUUCUCACCCAAAUGACCUAUCAAGGUAGUUCUUAAAUGAAAGCAGUUCCUCCCCUCAGAGAACACUAACACCAGCAGGCAAAAUAAUUUUUCUCAUUGCACAGCAUGUUCAAUAGAGAGCUAGCUAAGUCAGGCCGGAUCGACGUCCACGCUCUAUGUGGUGCACCAGCACAGAUUGGCUGGAGUUAGAUAUUUGAGUCUGAACCUGAACUUCUCAUGUGGUUCUCACAACAUCCCUCCACAAAGGCCUUUCCCCCAAAAACCAUAGUCCAUAGUUGACUCCAGUCUUGCUGGCAGCUAAGCAAGUCCUGGGAAAACCAGGAGCUGGCAGGUGUCUGGAAACCAUUUCUUUGCAGUUCUGUGCUGCUGCAUCCUCUGGCUUGAAGUCAUCAGGAACCAGCCCCACUUUGCAACCCCAGGGCCCACAAUCCAAAUGCAGUCUCUGGUUUUUGAAGCUUUUAGUCCCAUUAGCGUUCACAGUGCUAGGAAUGAUGCAAGACAGGGGAGGAUGGAAGCGGCAUUGGACCAGCAGUUCCAGCAGGCCAGGCUGCCAAAGCUUCUGUCUCCCCUCCCUCGCUUCCCUAUUACUGGGAGUGCUUAAUGUGCACCCAUGCAAGAAGACCAAUUUGCACCUUCUGUGGAGGACACAGCUUGGAAUUUCUUGACUUCUGUGCACCUCAAUAGCCAAUGACUUCACUGUUUCUGUCUUGCUCCUUGACUUGAUCUCUCAUGAGAGUGGAGGAGCCAGAAGAAGGUAAGCCAGUCAUAACAGUCAAAGGUUCCCAAAACAAAAGGCGAAGAGCCAAAGCAGGCAGUGAUCCCUGAGAAUCACCAAGGCUCCCCAACCUCCCUCUGAUGAGACUCAGGGGCUCCUUUUUAUCUCCAGAAUCUAUCUAUAAGACAGGGUCAGUGGGAAGUAGGCCAAAUGCUAUAUGGUGUGACAGCAAGGGCCUAGGACUUUCUCUGCCUCCCCAGAUGCCUCCCAACUUGUGAGCAGGUUCCUGACACUACAAGUUCAUUCCUUUAGCAUAAGGUGUUAACACUAUCAAAUACAAACUACUCCACAAAAGAUGAGGCUUUGAGUUUAUCAUGGCCAUAAGAAUAGAGAUGGGGUGGAAGACAUCCGAGAAAAGCUUAGAAGAAGGUUGGAGCCUGGGGUGGCUGGGUGGAGGGGAGCAAUAGGCUGGGCAGAGGCCAGGUAGGCCAAGGAUAAGCUCCACAACUCAGAUGGCACUUGGUCCAAGCAGUGAUGGGGCCUUGACUCCAGGCUUAGCCCCACUUCCACUUUGCUCUGUGAACUUAGGUUAACUCACCCCUCUGGGUCUCCAUAUCCCUUUUUCAAGGUGAAACCAAAAAUAAACUUAUCUCACUUCUUGCAAAGUCAAGGAUAGUUUUACCAGUUCCCUUGUUAGGGAAAUGGUUCUGUGAUAAGAGUAGCAAGGCUUUACUCUGUGCCAGGUGCUGUUCUAAGCCCUUAACAAGCGCUAACUCAUGUAAUCUUCCAAAGAUUCCAGAGGUGGGAGCUACGACCACCCCCAUCUUGCAGAUGAAGACCUUGCAGCGACCAGCCCAGGGUCCCCUGGCAAGUGGGUGACAAAGCCAGGAAUGAACCCAGGGGGUCUGGGCCAGAGCCCACACCUUAACCAUCAUACUCCAUGGCCUCUCUAUGUGCAGGGGCCCCACACACAGAGCAUAAGCCCAGCUGCCUGCUUCUAAUGUUCUGAUCCAGUUUAUGAGGGGUACCUUGCACCUGGUGUACCCCCAAUCACAAAACAGGGAUAGCCUCAAGUGCUUUUUCCAGUUGUAUUACUUUACUGAGACCAGAGUAACCAUCUAAAUCCACUUCAAGACUGCCCCUAGGAAGGCGUUCCUCACACCAAUGUGGGGGACACACCUGUUGUUAAAAAAAGAUAGCCUUGGCCAGGCGUGGUGGCUCAUGCCUGUAA